UGUCUUGCAGAGAAAAUAAAUUGUAUGUUCCUCAAAUCAAGAAGGAGACACCAAGUAGCAGCCACACCGCUAGUGAGCUACAAAUGGCGUUUCUAGUACGGCGCACCAUGCUUUUGCUACUUGUCUUCACCGUUUUAUCGAUGCCUGCAGCAUGGGAUUUAAUCGCCGACAUAAACAGUGCAGAAGAGUGCAACGAUGAAGGCUCUGAAUGCUACAACGACGAUGACUGUGGAGGAGGAUGCAAAUGCGGUACUUACAGCGUAUGCAUCCAGGCGUAGCCAGCCAGCUCCCAGGUGGGCCUUAAUGAAUAGAUGGGCAACGAAAUUGCGGGCCACUGAAAUACAAGUCGACAUUGAAUUUCAUGUAACCGACAACAUAUCAA